AAAGCAGGAUGCUUAGAGGGAUUGAGUUUGACAAAAGAGAAGGUGGCUCGUAAUUACAAUGUACAGUGGAAGGAAAUGGUAUCAGGAGUAUGCUGGUGUCAUUUUGAAAUAUUCAAAAUGGUCCGGAAGUUUGCAGUCCUGAAUGUGGGGCAGGCCUUCAUCAGCUGCAUCUCUCUAAGGGAGUCUCCUGACUCUUUGGGACUUGCUCAUCCUCCUUGGAUUCUUUUCCCUGAAUCCAGUCAAAUACUCCUAAGGGAAGGCCUUAGCCGCUGAGCUCAGGUACCUCCUGCCUCGAGGUGCUUUUUCAUCUGUUGUCCUUUAAAACAGGCUCCUUCCCAGGUGGUUUGGCUCCCACCGGUGCCUGUCAGGAACCAGGAAGAGCACCAUCUUGCUUAGAUGCAGUUAACAGUCCUCCGCUCCGCUCCUAUUCUUUUUUCCUUCCUCAUUUGGGGAGGGGUGUAAUAUUCAGACAUAUAGUGUUUCAACCUCGCAAUAACCACCCACAUUCAGAACUUACUUUGAUCUAUGUUUGGCCUGUGGGGAUGAAAAUAUACCUGACAAUGAAUUGGGGGUGGAAAAAAAAACCCUCAGAGAAAAUGUGUGUGUGGGGGGGCGGGGGGGGGAGGGGGGGAGGGGGCACUCCCUGGAGGUCCUAAGGAAGGUGCGCCCGAAGCAAGCUCAGCACCACAGACAACCUCAACCCUUAGCUGGAGGAGGAAAAGGGGACAGAGGGAGAGAUGCAGGCAGCAGGCUGCUCCUGUAACUUUGUAGGCUGUGUAAGGGAUGUUGUUCAGGGGCAGAAAGCUAGGACAGUUCUCUUUUACAGUAUUGCAGUCAUUCUAACACAACUUUACCUUUGAGUUCCCCUGAUUUCCAAAAGCUCAUAAAUUAUUAUCUUCAGAGCCUUCAAUAUUUCUUUGCGUAUUUUGUAAGUGGAUUGCGGAGGCCAUUUAUGAAGCAAAAUGACACAACUUUUAAUCUUUUGAACAUGAAAGUAUAUCCAGUCAAGUUUCCUUCUCAAAAUAACG
rnacentral:lncRNA from 1 species